rnacentral:misc_RNA from 1 species
GGAGAAGUGGUUUUAGUGUUAUUAAUGUGCUCACUAGGGGAUGAGUGGGGACUAGAGCCUGCCAUAACAGGUCAGAACCAUUGCCGUGAGGAGAGUUUACUGAAUAGAAGUUUUGCUUUCUUAAGUCUCGUUUUAGUUUCCACUGCUGGGUUGUUCUCUCCUUUACCUUCCCAGUUAGGCCCCCCUCCACCUUCACCAUGACCAUCACCAGGAGAGAGAAAGAAAGAUAUAAGAAGUGAACUUUUGGGGUGGAGAAUGGAGAAGAAAUGGAUGAGACAAGGCUUGAUUAGGAACAUUAGCUGGAGGAGCAUUUUAUAUAUUUUUUUUCAUCCCAUUUUACUGACACGUCAUCUUCUUUCCAGGAUUGCUAAGACCCAAGCCAAGCAUAUGCUUUGAUUAUGUAAUUUUGAUUAAUUGGAGCAUUUUAUUGGUAAAAUUAAAAGGCCGUGCUAGAAUUGCAAAAAGUGCUAAAGUUUGUGCCUUUUU